rnacentral:rRNA from 1 species
ACGGCUCAGUAACACGUAGUUAAUCUGUCCUAAGGUCAGGGAUAAUCUCGGGAAACUGAGUGUAAUACCUGAUAGAAAAUAUACUCUGGAAUGAUAUAUAUUUGAAACUCGAGCCUUAGGGUGAGACUGCGGCUGAUUAGGUUGUUGGCGGGGUAACUGCCCACCAAGCCGAUGAUCAGUAAGGGCUCUUAGCGGAGAAGCCCUGAGAGGGAAUCUGAGACACUAUUCCCAGCCCUACGGGGUGCAGCAGUUAGGAAUCAUUUGCAAUGCGCGAAAGCGUGACAAUUUGAACCAGAGUGCUUCUCGCUUGAGAAGCUUUUGCCAAAUGUAAAAAGUUUGGCGAAUAAGGACUGGGUAAGACGAGUGCCAGCCGCCGCGGUAAUACUCGCGGUCCAAGUCGCAGCCAUCUUUAUUGGGUCUAAAACAUCCAUAGCUUGCUUGAUAAGUUCCUUGUGAAAUCUUAUCUCUCAAAGAUAGGGCGUGCAAGGAAUACUGUCAUGCUAGAGACCGGCAGACGCAGAAAGUACGUUCGAAGUAGCGGUAAAAUGUGUUAAUCCCGGACGGACUAACAACAGCGAAGGCAUUCUGCGAGGACGGUUCUGACUGUCAGGGAUGAAGGCUAGGGGCGCAAAACGGAUUAGAUACCCGUGUAGUCCUAGCAGUAAACACUGUACACUAAACAUUAGUACCUCCUCGAGAGGUAUUGGUGCUGCAGCGAAGGCGAAGAGUGUACUACCUGGGAAGUAUAGUCGCAAGGCCGAAACUUAAAGGAAUUGGCGGGGGAGCAC